rnacentral:rRNA from 1 species
UACGUAGGGUGCGAGCGUUAAUCGGAUUUACUGGGCGUAAAGCGUGCGCAGGCGGCCCGUUAAGACAGGUGUGAAAUCCCUGGGCUCAACCUAGGAAUUGCGCUUGUGACUGGCGGGCUCGAGUACGGUAGAGGGGGGUAGAAUUCCAGGUGUAGCGGUGAAAUGCGUAGAGAUCUGGAGGAAUACCGGUGGCGAAGGCGGCCCCCUGGGCCUGUACUGACGCUCAUGCACGAAAGCGUGGGGAGCAAACAGG